rnacentral:sRNA from 1 species
GUCAGGAACCCACGCCUUGAGGCGAGGGCUUGUAGGAGUUAAUUCUUGCGGCGUUGCGCUCUCCUAACCGCUAGCGUCACGCCUCGGCUGUGCCGAAGGCUAAUGAAUUAAAGCCAUAAGCCCCAUACCUGAACGGACUCAGCUUCGGCUUCUUCAGCCUAGGCUACGUUACUAAAACGGGUUAAAAUUCUGACCCUGGAUGGUGUCGAGCCAGUUCCAAACUCUGAAAUCGGAGACGGCAUGAUGUACGGGGUUAAGUCAGUGUCUGCCGAAAACGACCGCUUAGUAACUUUGUCCUGAGCGUUAGCGGAGAUUGAAUCGCCCUACCGAGGCGA